GGGAUGUUCAUAACCCUUUGUUGUCCGACUCUGUUGCCUCCGGGGCGACCCUGCCUUCGGGCGGGGGCUCCGGGUGGACACUUCAAACUCUUGCGUAACUUUGCAGUCUGAGUAAACUUAAUUAAUAAAUUAAAACUUUUAACAACGGAUCUCUUGGUUCUGGCAUCGAUGAAGAACGCAGCGAAAUGCGAUAAGUAAUGUGAAUUGCAGAAUUCAGUGAAUCAUCGAAUCUUUGAACGCACAUUGCGCCCCCUGGUAUUCCGGGGGGCAUGCCUGUUCGAGCGUCAUUUCACCACUCAAGCCUCGCUUGGUAUUGGGCAACGCGGUCCGCCGCGUGCCUCAAAUCGACCGGCUGGGUCUUCUGUCCCCUAAGCGUUGUGGAAACUAUUCGCUAAAGGGUGUUCGGGAGGCUACGCCGUAAAACAACCCCAUUUCUAAGGUUGACCUCGGAUCAGGUAGGGAUACCCGCUGAACUUAAGCAUAUCAAUAAGCGGAGGAAAAGAAACCAACAGGGAUUGCUCUAGUAACGGCGAGUGAAGCAGCAAUAGCUCAAAUUUGAAAUCUGGCGUCUUCGACGUCCGAGUUGUAAUUUGUAGAGGAUGCUUCUGAGUAACCACCGACCUAAGUUCCUUGGAACAGGACGUCAUAGAGGGUGAGAAUCCCGUAUGCGGUCGGAAAGGUGCUCUAUACGUAGCUCCUUCGACGAGUCGAGUUGUUUGGGAAUGCAGCUCUAAAUGGGAGGUAAAUUUCUUCUAAAGCUAA
rnacentral:misc_RNA from 1 species